rnacentral:rRNA from 1 species
UAGGGAAUCUUCCGCAAUGGGCGAAAGCUUGACGGAGCAACGCCGCGUGAGUGAUAAAGGUCUUCGGAUCGUAAAACUCUGUUAUUAGGGAAGAACAAAUGUGUAAGUAACUAUGCACGUCUUGACGGUACCUAAUCAGAAAGCCACGGCUAACUACGUGCCAGCAGCCGCGGUAAUACGUAGGUGGCAAGCGUUAUCCGGAAUUAUUGGGCGUAAAGCGCGCGUAGGCGGUUUUUUAAGUCUGAUGUGAAAGCCCACGGCUCAACCGUGGAGGGUCAUUGGAAACUGGAAAACUUGAGUGCAGAAGAGGAAAGUGGAAUUCCAUGUGUAGCGGUGAAAUGCGCAGAGAUAUGGAGGAACACCAGUGGCGAAGGCGACUUUCUGGUCUGUAACUGACGCUGAUGUGCGAAAGCGUGGGGAUCAAACAGG